GGUUUUAUAGAGUAGUGGUUAGCACGACUGCCUUACAAGCAGAAGGUCCUGGGUUCAAGCCCCAGCGGAGCUA
rnacentral:tRNA from 1 species